rnacentral:misc_RNA from 1 species
GAUGAAGAACGUAGCGAAAUGCGAUAAGUAAUGUGAAUUGCAGAAUUCAGUGAAUCAUCGAAUCUUUGAACGCACAUUGCGCCCCUUGGUAUUCCGGGGGGCAUGUCUGUUCGAGCGUCAUUUCAACCCUCAAGCUCUGCUUGGUAUUGGGCCCGGUGGGCGAUUGCCUACCAGCCUUAAAGAGAGUGGCGGUGCCCCGCGGCCCUGAGCGUAGUAACUACUCCCGCUAUAGGUGUCCACGGGCUCACCAGCCAGCAACCCCAACUUUCUAUGGUUGACCUCGGAUCAGGUAGGGAUACCCGCUGAACUUAAGCAUAUCAAUAAGCGGAGGA